UGGGGAAUUUUGGACAAUGGGCGAAAGCCUGAUCCAGCAAUGCCGCGUGUGUGAAGAAGGCCUUCGGGUUGUAAAGCACUUUUGUCCGGAAAGAAAUCCUUGGCUCUAAUACAGUCGGGGGAUGACGGUACCGGAAGAAUAAGCACCGGCUAACUACGUGCCAGCAGCCGCGGUAAUACGUAGGGUGCAAGCGUUAAUCGGAAUUACUGGGCGUAAAGCGUGCGCAGGCGGUUUGCUAAGACCGAUGUGAAAUCCCCGGGCUCAACCUGGGAACUGCAUUGGUGACUGGCAGGCUAGAGUAUGGCAGAGGGGGGUAGAAUUCCACGUGUAGCAGUGAAAUGCGUAGAGAUGUGGAGGAAUACCGAUGGCGAAGGCAGCCCCCUGGGCCAAUACUGACGCUCAUGCACGAAAGCGUGGGGGAGCAAAACAGGAUUAGAUACCCUGGUAGUCCACGCCCUAAACGAUGUCAACUAGUUGUUGGGGAUUCAUUUCCUUAGUAACGUAGCUAACGCGUGAAGUUGACCGCCUGGGGAGUACGGUCGCAAGAUUAAAACUCAAAGGAAUUGACGGGGUCAUAGCUG
rnacentral:rRNA from 1 species